GACGAACGCUGGCGGCGUGCUUAACACAUGCAAGUCGAACGGUGAAGGGGUCUGCUUUUGUGGGCCCUGGAUGAGUGGCGAACGGGUGAGUAACACGUGAGUAACCUGCCCCCUUCUUCUGGAUAACCGCAUGAAAGUGUGGCUAAUACGGGAUAUUCUGGGUCUGUCGCAUGAUGGGUCUGGGAAAGAUUGCGCCUUUGGGUGUUUUUGGUGGGGGAUGGGCUCGCGGCCUAUCAGCUUGUUGGUGGGGUGAUGGCCUACCAAGGCGGUGACGGGUAGCCGGCCUGAGAGGGUGGACGGUCACACUGGGACUGAGACACGGCCCAGACUCCUACGGGAGGCAGCAGUGGGGAAUAGUGCACAAGGGGCGCAAGCCUGAUGCAGCGACGCCGCGUGAGGGAUGGAGGCCUUCGGGUUGUAAACCUCUUUCGCCAGUGAAGCAGGCCUGCUCCGUGUGGGUGGGUUGACGGUAGCUGGAGAAGAAGCGCCGGCUAACUACGUG
rnacentral:rRNA from 1 species